UAUAAAGUCUGACCUGCCCAAUGAAAAUUUAAAUGGCCGCGGUAUUUUGACCGUGCAAAGGUAGCAUAAUAAUUAGUUUUUUAAUUGAAAGCUGGAAUGAAUGGUUGGACGAGAAAAUAACUGUCUCAAAUUAAUUUAAUUAGAAUUUUAUUUUUAAGUUAAAAAGCUUAAAUUUUUUUAAAAGACGAGAAGACCCUAUAGAGUUUUAUAUAUUUAUAAUUAAAUUUAAUUUAGUAUUUUAGUAUUUUUAUUUUUAAAUGUAUUUUAUUGGGGUGAUAAAAAAAUUAAUAAAACUUUUUUUUUAUAAUAACAUUGAUAUAUGAAUCAUUGAUCCAUUUUUUAUGAUUAAAAGAUUAAGUUACCUUAGGGAUAACAGCGUAAUUUUUUUUUAGAGUUCUUAUCGAAAAGAGAGAUUGCGACCUCGAUGUUGGAUUAAAAUUAAUACUUGGUGUAGAGGCUAAGUUAUUAGGUCUGUUCGACCUUUGAAAUUUUACA
rnacentral:rRNA from 1 species